GACAUGCAGAGAACUUUCCAGAGAUGGAUUGGUGCCUUCGGGAACUCUGACACAGGUGCUGCAUGGCUGUCGUCAGCUCGGUGUCGUGAGAUGUUGGGUUAAGUCCGUAACGAGCGCAACCCUUGUCCUUAGUUACCAGCACGUUAUGGUGGGCACUCUAAGGAGACGUGCCGGUGACAAACCGGAGGAAGGUGGGGAUGACGUCAAGUCAUCAUGGCCCUUACGGCCUGGGCUACACACGUGCUACAAUGGUCGGUACAAAGGGUUGCCAAGCCGCGAGGUGGAGCUAAUCCCAUAAAACCGAUCGUAGUCCGGAUCGCAGUCUGCAACUCGACUGCGUGAAGUCGGAAUCGCUAGUAAUCGUGAAUCAGAAUGUCACGGUGAAUACGUUCCCGGGCCUU
rnacentral:rRNA from 1 species